rnacentral:rRNA from 1 species
AACGGAAAGGCUCCAGCUUGCUGGAGUACUCGAGUGGCGAACGGGUGAGUAACACGUGGGUAAUCUGCCCUGCACUCUGGGAUAAGCCUGGGAAACUGGGUCUAAUACUGGAUAUGACCUUUCUCCUUAUGGGGUUUGGUGGAAAGUUUUUCGGUGUAGGAUGAGCCCGCGGCCUAUCAGCUUGUUGGUGGGGUGAUGGCCUACCAAGGCGACGACGGGUAGCCGGCCUGAGAGGGUGAUCGGCCACAUUGGGACUGAGAUACGGCCCAGACUCCUACGGGAGGCAGCAGUGGGGAAUAUUGCACAAUGGGCGGAAGCCUGAUGCAGCGACGCCGCGUGAGGGAUGACGGCCUUCGGGUUGUAAACCUCUUUCAGCAGGGACGAAGCGUAAGUGACGGUACCUGCAGAAGAAGCACCGGCUAACUACGUGCCAGCAGCCGCGGUAAUACGUAGGGUGCGAGCGUUGUCCGGAAUUACUGGGCGUAAAGAGCUCGUAGGCGGUUUGUCACGUCGUCUGUGAAAUCCUAGGGCUUAACCCUGGACGUGCAGGCGAUACGGGCUGACUUGAGUACUACAGGGGAGACUGGAAUUUCUGGUGUAGCGGUGGAAUGCACAGAUAUCAGGAAGAACACCGAUGGCGAACGCAGGUCUCUGGGUAGUAACUGACGCUGAGGAGCGAAAGCAUGGGUAGCGAACAGGAUUAGAUACCCUGGU